CUACGGGCGGCAGCAGUGAGGAAUAUUGCACAAUGGGGGGAACCCUGAUGCAGCAACGCCGCGUGGAGGAUGACGCAUUUCGGUGUGUAAACUCCUUUUAUAUGUCAAGAAAAUGACGGUAGCAUAUGAAUAAGCACCGGCUAACUCCGUGCCAGCAGCCGCGGUAAUACGGAGGGUGCAAGCGUUACUCGGAAUCACUGGGCGUAAAGGACGCGUAGGCGGGUUGGAAAGUCAGGUGUGAAAUCCUACAGCUUAACUGUAGAACUGCACUUGAAACUUCUAAUCUAGAGUAUGGGAGGGGGAGAUGGAAUUAGUGGUGUAGGGGUAAAAUCCGUAGAUAUCACUAGGAAUACCUAAAGCGAAGGCGAUCUCCUGGAACAUUACUGACGCUAAGGCGUGAAAGCGUGGGGAGCAAACAGGAUUAGAUACCCAUCUAGUC
rnacentral:rRNA from 1 species